UAGGUAGUUGAGGACGAAAAUGAAAAGUUAAAGAACAGAGGUGUUAGGAAGAAAAUUUCCCCCCAAAUUUUUUUUUCCUUUCCCGCACAAAAUUCUCCAAAAAAAUUUUCCCACUUACAUUUUCAUUUCCCACACAAAAGUUUCAUUUCUCACACAAAGUUUUUACUCACAAAACUCUCUCAUUUUCUCUCUAUCUCUCACACGGCCUCUCACAUUCACACAACGCGCACACACACACACAACCCCGCCGGCGUCGACCAGCAGAGCCCAGCCCAGCCCAGCGACGACGCCGACGAGGCUGAGCCCAGCCAUCGACUCCUCUCCUCCUCGAUCUCUCUCUCCCUCACUAGAAGAUCCUUUCUCCUUUUCUCCCUCUCUCUCAUUACCACCCCCAUACCCAUUCAUUUUUCCUCACCAUACCCAUACCCAUACCCAUUCCGAUUUUGCUUGAGAGAAAUGGCAUCUGGGGAUGAUGGCACUGAGAGAUGGUGCGUGGUGAUAGGAGGUCGUGGUUUUGCUGCUCGUCAUUUGGUUGAAAAGCUCAUCUCAUAUAACAUGUUCCUCGUCCGAAUUGCAGAUAUGGGUCCCACCAUUAACCUUGACCCUCAUGAGGAGAAUGGAACUCUCAGCCAAGCCUUGCGCUCUGCUCAAGCUGUUUAUGUUUCCAUGGAUCUUUGAAACGAGGCCCAAGUUCUCAAAGCAUUCUUCGAUGAGUUCUUCGAUGAACGAUUACCAGCUACAUUAUUCGGUCAAUGUGGAAGGUACAGAGUGCUAGGCGCGGGAUGGGGACCAAGAAUGUUGUUGAUGCUUGUAUUGAGCUUAAAGUGAAGAGACUGAUCUAUACUAGCUCUCCUGGGGUUCAUGGCAUUUUGGAUGCGGAUGAAUCAGUGCCCUACCCGGCUAAGGCAUGAGAGAGUGAGGGAGCUGAGCAAACGGUACGGAUGGGACAAGAAAGGAGCAAUGAAGGUGUUAGGAGAAUGGUCGGAUCGCAUGGGUUUGUGGGCCAUGCCCGUAUAAUUGGACUCAUGUCAUUUUGACUUUCGAGUUCCUCAACUUUUGUCUACAUUUUUCAUGUGCAAAGGAUAAGUUUUUGCAAAGAACUUGUUAAAUUUCGUGUUAUAAUUAUGGCCAUUAGGUGGUCCUCCAAAAGCCUGGCCUGCAAAAUUGCCAAGUUGGCAAUCUAAUAAUAGUUGGAUCUUGUUACCAAUAGAAAGGAAUUAUUUUAAUUAUGGAGAUUCAAAUGACAAAUUGAGAAUCCUGGUACUCUAGAGAUGUUAGAUGUAUAUUUGGGUUUAUAGUAUUGUAGAUUGGGAUUGAUUAUUUUUACUUUGUCAAGGCUGAUGUGCUUUGUCUAGUGUAGGGCUGUCCAAACAUAUCUGAUGACCCGACCCAUCGGAGACACGAUCGGAACUAAUUCGAAACCAGCCGACCCGACCUACUCCAGUGGUUGGCAGCAGAUUUUCUCCACCAGAAAUCGACUCCGGUGGGUCGGUUUCUGUUUCUCUCCCCAAAAACCUAAAAAAACCCAAACCGACCAGCAAAAAAACCCAUAAUCUGAAGAAAAACCCAGAUUCUGACAAGAAAUCCAGAUUUCGACGAGAAAAUUCCAGAUUCUAGCAAUAGAAAACCCAGAUCUCGGCCAAAAAACCUGGAUUCAGGCACUAUUUCACGUAGAUCUGACAAAAUUUUGAGUGAAUCUAGCGAAAUCUCAUCAAAUUCGGUGAGAUUACCAUCGGAUCUGGCGAAAUCUCAUAGAUUCCGAUGAGAUUUUUGCCAGAUCUAGGUUUUUUUUCACCUUUUCUCUCAGUUUCCUCGCCCUUUUUUGUCGUUUUCUCAGAUCUUUGACUCCGAUCGACCUGUUUGUGUACCCAUUGAAGUCUGAUCCGCCAAACUUGUUUACUCCGACGGUCAGCAGCAUGUGAGUUUUUUUGAAACCCGAUUUAGUCGGGUCAAUUCCUGGUUAGGUACAAACUCGACUUGUGGACAGCCCUAGUCCAGUGUAUAAAAGCAUGAUUAUGAGGGUUGCAUCUUGGCUUAUACUAUAUUAUGCUUGUUGAUGAUAUUGGAGAUGUGACAAUUACUAAUGAUGGUGCUACAAUACUGAAGAUGCUUUGAUUUUUUGAUAGCUUUUUAUGUACAAAGAACCACAUUUAAACAACUGCAUUUUUUGGAAGUGUUGAAGGAUUUGUUUAAAUACUUUGGAACUUUGAUAAUGGUUAUAGACAACGUUAUGUAUUUGAUAAUAUAUUUCUAUGUUAAUAUAAUGUUAGUUUGGAGACA